UCCCACCCAGACUGGCUCCCCGGGUGCCACCCCUCCCCAGGGAGGAUGGAGCCAGGGAGGACGGAGUCCGCCGGCUGGCUGCUGCCCGGCCUGGUAAUGAAUCGUCUCAAAGUUUGCCGCCCGUCUGAAUAGCUUUGCUUCUGAAAGGGAUUUGUGACAAAGGGUACAUUGACAUCCUCCACCAGACAAGAAGGGCUGCCUGCACGCACAGGAAUUGCUGUCCCCACUGUGCAGAGGGAGAAGAUGAGCCCUCCAGGGGGAAAGUGACCUCUCUACGGUGGCACAGCUGGGGGAGGCAGAUCCAGGUUCUUCCCAGCCCAACUGCUCCUCCUGAUCGUUAACUGCUGGAGUCUUCUCCUCACCAAAUAGGGAUGCAAACGUGAUAGCAGGAGCGGGAGCAGUCAUUUAGGACCAUGAGAUGAAAGCUGUCAUUGGGAGGUGGAGCUACAAGAUUGAAGGAGACCGGAGCCCUGACCUGAUGACGUCUCCAUGUCAUCCCUGGAUCAUACUGGAAUGUGUGUGAGAGAGAUCAACUUUUAUCUUGUUGAAGUUUCUGUAUUUUGGGGUUUCUUUGUCCCAGAAACUGAAUCGAUAUACUCACCUUUGCUUGUCUCCAUGGAGCAGUCACUUCUGGGCUGACAUGGAUAUGUCUGGUUACAGCAGGGGCAGGGACUCCACGUAUCAGUGGACUUUGGUGAUCUUUGGGUGGUAUACACACCGUUGUAUGGUCCCUUCCCACAAUGACUUUGAACUUGCUCAUGCAACUUGCCUGGACCAACGGGACAUUAGCAAGCACAAUGGUGGCAAGGCUUGGUAAGCUCUUGCCCAGUGGGACCUGUCAUCUUGGAACACUCACUCUUGGGAUCUUUCUUCUCUGAAACCAAGUGUCAAUCUGGAGAAGCCCAACCUCACCAUAAGGAGGGGCCACCCAGGUAAGAACCCAGGGGAGAACAGAGGCCUUCCCUCAACCCCAGCCUGCACCGACUUGCCAGCACUUGAGCAAAGCCGCUUGGAAGUGGAACUUCCAGUCCGAGCCUCAUGGAACAAAGACGAGCCAUCCUUGCCCCACCUUGUCUGAUUUACAGAAUCAUGAUCAAAUAAAUGGCUGUUUUAAGCUACUAACUUUCGGGGUGGUUUGUUACGCAGCAUUGGAUAACUGAAACACACAUGGAUGGACACGGGCCCUGUUGCUGUCUGAAAAACUCCAUCGUGCUUCUUUCUACUUCAAAAUGGCAAGCAGGUCUUCCUACGCCUGAUACCACGAAGCUAUCCGGGUACUUGCUGUAGCUCUGGAAGCACAGAAGGGGCAGCAGCCUCACAACCCUGCCGGGUGACUGUGGCUUGGCUUAUUGCUCUGACUUGGAGCUCCGGGAAUGGCUGUGGGUUCUGCUGGUCACACUUGCUCUCUAAUGCUGCUGAGGCGCCCUGUCCCUCAUAGAGGGGCUUGAGGGCAGUAUUCAGAGGACGAGGACUGACGGCCUCAGUGAGGGAUCAGCAGUGCUCACCUGUAUAAGUAUGCAGGACCAGGUGGAGAAAUAAAGAAAUG